GGUAUGUGUGUGAAACAUCAGAACUGAAUAAUGGACCAGAGAAUUCAGAGAUCUUUGGUUACCUGUUUCCGGUUUCGUCGGUUCACAUUGCUGCGUUCCUGACCUAGCUUCGCCUGCAUCAUUAGAUCAUAUUAUAAUAUGCAUUAUAGACUAUAGUUAUACAGCUUGAAUUUGAAAGAGCUACAUGGUCGUUGUUUCGAGUGCUUUUUCAUCUGCUGUGACAGACAGCAUCAACGGUUACCAACAUAAUAGGUGCAUUGCAAGUUGUGCAAUGCUGAAUGCAUACGUUUCGUCAGUGACUUCCUUCUGCCUCAUUGAUGCGAAACUGAUAAUAAACAUGCAAGAGAAUACAGCUAUAGUUACUCUGGACUGCCAUGAUAGAAACAUUGAAACAGAUAUUGACUGGCUUUAGGUUUUUAUUGGUGUUGCAAACGAUGAAACGAUCACUAAAUUCUGUGCCUAUGUGAGAUUUGUUGGUUCAUCGAAUAACAUCAAACUUACAGUAAGGUAAACGGUCAAGCAAAGUGUGCAAGGUCGUUGAUGGAGUAUUCCAUGUGAAAUCCUCUCACCAGUCUGAGCCCCACCAACUGAACAUCAGAGGACCAACUUGCACCUGCAGAAACUUCAGCAGGACUCACAUCCCCUGCAGACAUAUUUUUCAAGCUAUCGAUGAUGGUUUAAUGAAAUGGGAGGACCUACCUGAAGAUUACAGAAACAUACCGUUCUUCGUAAAAGAUAAAGGUCUGUUAAAUUGAUCUGUAUGCAUGUUUACAUUCCAAUUUGAAUAGACAAGACAAAAUUGAGGUUCAUAACUCGUUCAUGUGCUAUGGCCGUGCGUCCGCGUCGAUGUAGGAGGUGUGGAGCCUGCUUGUAGAGAAAAUAUGAAGUUUCCUACAGUAAAUAUUAUUAUCAAUAUCAAAGGCAGGGCAUUACUUCGACCUCCGAGGCGAGGU